AAAUCUUUCUCUUCUGCUGUUGAAUUCUGUCCAGCAUAAGAACUUCUCUGCCAAAGUCAUUUCUUCUAUCUUUCCAUAGACCACCUAGUUCCUUCCAAACAUGGAAGCCGACUGAACUAGCUUCAUUCCACUCUCAGAUCUACAUUCACCAACUUCCUCACAGGAUCCAUCAUCCGCUGCUGCAAUUCUCUUUAUUCCUCUGCCGAACCAGAUUCAAUUCUGUUUUGACCGAUUGCACGAGAUGCAAGCUUCUCCAAGUCGUUCGGUCAUCAUGUGGUAAUCAGAGCUUGGGUGCUGCAACGUUUCCAGCAAUGUGAGCUUGUGUAGAUAAGUUCCAUUUCCGUGUUGUCAUCAACACUCCUUUCUUGUACUGCAUUGUUUACUGUUCUAUUGAUUUUCUUAAAUUCUAUAGAUUCCUUUGAGUCAUUUGUUUGGUCCAGCUUUGCUUUGAUUUGGUGUUAUCAUUUUAAUUGGUUCAUGUUAUUGAUUUGAGUUUUUACUUUUGAAAUCUUGAUUCUGUUUUGUUAAGUCAUGUCAAUACUUUCCAAUUUUGUCUCAAAUUCCAUGUUUAACCAAGAAUGGAUAAAUCUGCAUAGUUGAUUGGAGUAAUUCAAUAAGAAGCCUAGUGCAUCUUGAAGCUCCUCAGCAAAGUAGUACCAUAGGUUAACAUAGUUUAACUUUAACCGAGAUGAAGUCUGUUGCCUGGUUUCAAUCUGCCUACUAAUACACCAGCAUUUGUGUGAUCUGUGAUGGUGUUUACUGUCACAAUUAUGUGCUAUUGAUUGUUGGAUAUAAUGCAAUCAGAGGAAAUGCAUACCACAAUUUAUGUUGAGACAUUAAAGUGGAAAGCAUUAUGUUGCAGAUUCCAAAUUUAACACAUAGCAGUUUGAACCGUACUGCAUUGCUUUGUUGAAUGUCUUUUGAUUUUUUUAAUCGGUCCAGCUUUAGUAAUCAUUUCUGGACUCCUUCAUAAUUCUAUAGAGUUUUUGUUCAAUUUAGUUUGCUGGCUGGAAACAUUAUAUUGUAUUUCAUAUCAGUUUGAAGCAUUAGAAUGCACUUCCAUGUGUGUCUGGAUCGUUUCUUUUAUUGAAUUGAGCAACUGGUAUGGUUAAAAUUUGAAUUGGCCAUUGGCAGUCUCUGCUAGCCAUUUCAAUCUGAUAUAUUUGCCAAACCAGACUUGCUCCAAGUGCCAAAACACUGAUCCAAACACUUUUGAAUCCUGUGCUGAAAUCUGCAUACUGUUUUGGUUAUGAUUUAGCUUGAAAUGACAACUCAGAUAGUCAAAAUUUGAUUCAUGAGUAAACUGAUUCAUUUGACUAUUGAUAUAAGUCACAUUUGACCAUUAAAAGUUGCUGGAAGCUUUCAAUUUGCCAAUUAACAUGGUUUGCUAAAUAUAGCCAACUCAGUUUCGUUUUGUCAGCCAAAUUUCUGUUGAGAAUAAGUUACAAUGUUAUGUUACUUUUGCUGACUAAUUGUGCAUCCGUUGUGUAUGAAUCUUGGUAGCAAAAUGCGUGGUUUCAUUCAUUAAAAGAAAAGAAUAGAAAGCAUAAAUCAAAAUAGAUUUGUAUGCUGAAUUGGAAAAGCAACUAGAACCCGUACCAAGUCAUAACAUUUGCCACUGGAUGCAUAGUAUCAGCCUUUUCUUUGAGACAAUUGGUCAAACACUUUUGACAUAAAUUUCAAUUGAGUUGAAUUGGAUAUCAUUGCAACUUAUCCUUUUGAAGUGCUAGCUGUUAUUGAAACCAUUUAAUUUCUUGAUUUUUGCUUAUUUGGAAUUCUGCCCACCAACUGUUUGUGACAAUUACAGUGGGGGUGUUCUGAUUUCAUCUGCUGCAGCAGUAUAACCAGUCAAUUUUGCAUUAACCUCUGUUGUUUCUGGAUCCGUGUGAGUAUUUUGAUGGUUGCAGAUCAGUUCCAGUUGGUUUGACAUUCUUGGUAACAUCUUAGGAAGAGGAUUGGUGAAUGAGAAGAUUCAAAGAAAAGUCCUGGCUGAGAGAUUCAAACUGCAGAAUUCAAACCAGCAAGUGUGACAGCAUUUUACUUAGUAGCUGUGAGCCUUGUGAGAUGUAAAGUGUUGCAUCAGAUUUUGAUUAAGAGCAACCAAAGCUGCCACAUUAAAACCUCCUCAUUGUUUUUCUAUUUCAUUUCUUUGUGUUUCUUCACCUUGUAUUUUGUUUCUUUCUUCAAUUUUUGUAAGUUGGCCAUUUCAAGCAAGUGAGGUGGAAGAGCUCCUAAGUGUUCUUCCCUCAUUUGCUAAAUUGACUAUAAAGUCUCAUAACCUAAAAAUUGAUAGACAGUGAGUGUGUCUUAGAUCCAAAGUCUAAGCCUCACCUAGGAGACCUCACCUUUACAUUUCCAUUGUCUUUAAGUUUCUUUUAAUUUGCCAUUUGUUUUCAAUUUUCUUCUAGGGAUCUCUUUUAGAGUCCGAAUUUAGAGUCCUACUUCUUUGCUUUGUUUUUUAGUCUUCUUUUGUGAUCUUAGAAGUAAUCUUGGAGUAACAACUACCAAGUAAGUAUCCUAGAAGAUUUUUGACAAGGAAAAGGCUUGUUACUUAAGCAACCCUAGUGGUUCACCUCCCUUACCUGGAAUUUGUUCUUGGGUGAAAUCUAAGUAAUUUGUAACACAAGAAAACUUUUAGAAUCACAAAAUGUUAAAACAUCAAUCUCCAAGAGUUAGUGAUUAUGAGGAACAAGUUACUCUCAAAGAUAUUUCAAAACAACUUAGAGAGCUAACUCAAUGGAGAAUUGACACUGAAAGAAAGAUGGAUUA
rnacentral:lncRNA from 1 species